rnacentral:rRNA from 1 species
UCGCUCCUACCGAUUGAGUGAUCCGGUGAACCUUUUGGACCGUUAUACGGAAAGAUAAGUAAACCUAAUCACCUAGAGGAAGGAG